UAUUGUUUCCGGCAGAGAUGUUGUUGCUCAUUGCGCCUCUAUUGUACCUCUGAAGUUGCCGUAGCUUCCGUCUUCUCCUCACAAUACCGUCUUGUGUUGCUGAGGAGCAGAGGUGCAGAUAGAAGGAAACAGUAGAGCAGAAGCCAAUUAAUGUUCUAUUGUCUUCUGCAGGUAUGUGUAUUUCUUUGUUAAACGUUAUACUCUUUUUGUUAUAUGUGCAGUCCCCAAACCCACAUACUGUUUAACUUUGCCCACUGAAACUGUUAAAGUAUAAAAUGUUG